GGGCAUGUUUACAGAGUCACCUCUCCAGUUCUGGCUAUCUAUUUAUCUAUCUAAGGAUGACUCUUUAUCCAAAGCUGUGCCCUGUGGAGCUGGAUCUGGUUUCUGCCCUUGCAUCCCAAGUGUUCGUGGAGAGAAUAUUCUCUGUCUGUGGACAACUGUCAUCCGGCUUGAGAACCAGCUCUCUGGAACACAGUCUUAUUGAAGAUAAACCAUCACAUCUUGUUUGGUUGAACAGAAACAAUCACACACAUACAAGCUAGUUGACUGGCUGGCUGUGAACUGAUAGAUCUGUGAAUAAGUGUUGUAUUGCUUUACGUUUCUUCUGUUGUUGCAUCUGUGUUUAUUAACCUUAUUUGAAGUCAGUGAUACUUGUUUAAUAUUACAGAAACUUAACAGGUCAAAUAUUCCAUGACUUCAUUUGUCAUUUUUUCUUCUCUCUUUCUGUCAGAUAAAGGGAAAGGUAUUUGCUUCUUCUUACAUCUAAAUGAAAGGAUUGGAUUGGUUUAAACAUGAGUAUUUCUCCUGAGUGGCGCAGCGGUCUCCUGCAUCUCAAUGCAAGAUGUGUCACUACAGUCCCUAGUUCUAAUCCAGGCGGUAUCACUUCCUGGCCGUGAUUGGGAGUCCCAUAGGGUGGUGCACAGUUGUCUGGGUUUGGCCGGGGUAGACCGUCAUUGUAAAUAAGAGUUUGUUUGUAGCUCACUUGCCUAGAUAAAUAAAGGUUACACAUCCUUCCACCAUAUUUCUUGCACCAGUCUAGGUGCUUAUCCUUCAAAUUCAAGUCACAUUAGGAUUGUUAUAUAAUUAAACCUAACCAAACCUUUAUCCUGGCUACGGAGUUGUAUGGAUUCCUCUAGUGUCUAUCCAGUUAUAUGGUCCUGCCCAGAACUGUAGGUAUUACUGCCCCCUAGUGGCAAGAAGUGACUUCCCAAAAACAAAAAAAACUAUAGGCACAUAAUGGCUCCUAGCCUCCUACGCAUAUUGUCCCCAACACUAGAACUGAAGCUAAAUAAUAUAAAAACAGAAUAGAAAUGUUUUUAUCAAACUGAAACUAAAUAAAAAAUGAGCAAAUCAAGUCUGAACUAACUGAAACUAAACUGUAUUUCAAAAUAAAAAUGUAAAAACGAAUAGAAAAAAAUAUUAAAUCACAAAUCUAUUAUAACCUUGACACACACACACACACACACACACACACACACACACACACACACACACACACACACACACACACACACACACACACACACACACACACACACACACACACACACACACACCAAACUUAAGUGGGGCUUCUCAAUCCAAUCUCCAGAGACUGCUGGACUCUUCAACCCUCUUCCCUAUCCUUCUCUGUGUGACACUUUUGAUGUUAUUGUUAUAUUUUAAGUGACCAUGUAACAUGUCUGAUAUUGUUUAUACAGUGUUGUAGUUCAACACCUCCACCCCUCCUGUGGGAUGGUCCGAAUAAAGACAUUCUGAAUGGAACCAGAUUCUCUUUGUUUGGUCACCCACACCACCAGGAAGCCCAUCCCACUGAGUCUGAGGUCAUGAGAUGUUUCACCCAGUAGGAAGUCUGAUUUAUCAUAACAUCCUGUUUGUGAAGUUGUUCUACAACGAGGCAGGCACAGACACAGUCAACUGCUUUGAAGGGGAACUGAUUCCAGAGCUCUCUGUCAUGGGAAAGGCGAAGGCCAAUGCUGGACUCCUGGCCCAGAGGCCUGACAACUCGGCUUUCAAACAUCAGAGACUGCCUGUCCCCAAUGCUCACUGCUCACACCAUCCUGCCUUCCUUUUAUUGUAUGGCCACUAUACGUGUGAAACUGGGAGUGUGCCUACCUGCCAACGUGCAGAAUACACAUGAACUGAAGGUGGACUACACACACGCAGGGUCAUGUGAUAAGUGUUUUGAGACCACAAGCUGUUGAACCAAAUCCAAGUCCUUUGAGAAGCACAGUGAUUAUGUUUCCUAUUUCCUGUCCCAGAGAGAUGUGUUAUUCUACUAUGAGCUGAUCAACUUCCACCAGAACAUACAUGGACUCCAGGGAUGAUGGACAGAUGGUCGGGAGAAAAUAAAAACCUGCAGGUAGCUACUGUUUCUGUCUACUUCUAUCUACCUAUCUAUCCAUCCCCGUCUGUCUGCCUCUAUCCAACUUUAUGCUGGUUCAUUCUGAGCUUUUGCGACUUCUUCUCUGUCAAACUCUUCCUGUCUGUCGGUUCUACAUAAUCCCAGCACCUACUGUGAGCCCUUCAUAAAGGAAAAGAAUGGACUCCCUAUCGCCCCCUGCUGGGCCAUGGCCAACAGCAUGUUCAACGGUAUUACACCAUUACCCACACUAUGUUCUGAGUCUCUGCUAAUGAUGUGACAGCAUUAUAGGAUUUUGGGGGGAAACACCUUUUAAUAUCCAGUGAUAUGAUCAAAUCAAUCUGACAUGAGACCUGGUUUUGAUUAAUUUAUUGACUGACUGAUUUCUUGAUGUGUUUUGUUUGUUUGUCCCAGACUCCUUCACUCUGACGUACUACUCAGGAGAGGGGGGGUCCAGUGUUCCAUGUUCAUCUGUUCAGGAAGGGCAUCCCCUGGUACACCGACAAGAACGUCAAGUUCCGCAACCCACCAGAUGAGAACAAGACACUAACGUUAGCACGUGAUUAAAGGCACGGCCCGGCCUCUGUACUGGUAGAAGCCCGUGUUUGACCUGGACCCCUGGGACCACAGCAACGGCUUCAUCAACGAGGACUUGAUAGUGUGGAUGAGGGAGGCUGCCUUCCCCAACUUCAAGGAGCUCUACGGGGUCCCGAGCAAGAGAACCCUUCACUGAAGGGCUGCCGACUGGGAACUACUGCAUCCAUACGUACUACAGUAGCCAUUAUUAUUUAUCUGCCUAUUAAUGCUUUAUUCUACCCGAUUGAUCAUUUUGAGCUUUAAAUCAAUUUAAUUAAAACGCUUUCCAAUUGGCAGAUUACUAUUUCCAACCCUGAGGCAGAUUGGGUUUAGCUAGUUUCUCAUUGGGUUGAAGUGAAACAGUCGGUUGUGGCUUGAAAUGUUGGAUUUGUUUAUUUGGUCAGUUAUAAAAAACAAUGUGGGCCACAGCACAUGAAGCCCCCUGUUAGACUGCAGUGGAUUCCUUCUACUGCAGAAAGGAAGUGGUACUGUCCACAGUCAGCUGGUUCGGGAGUCAGAACAACUUCCUGCCCGUAGCCUACCUGAUCACUGGCUGUCUCAUCCUGCUCCUCGCUGUUAUCCUCACCGCCAUUUGGUGGAAGUUUGGUAAGAACAGACGGAAUAUGGAGGAGUGAUGUAAAAGGACCAAUGUGAAAAUGGGUGAGGAAGAAAAUAAUAUUGAGUGAAUCAUGAGAAAAAGAGUCUGAUAUUUCAUUGUAAAUACUGUGAAUGUGACCAAUUGAUUUACUGAAAUGGUCAACGAUCCAAAUGCACGUAGUUCACAUUUGAGAUGUGGUUUGUGUUAGCGUUGGAUCAUCAUGAAUGCUUGUGCUUGGUUUCAUUUCCCUACAUCGCCAUGUGGUGGCAGAAGUGAUGUUAAAAUUAAAUGAGGUGGGAUACAUUCGAAAAUUGUUUUCAGAUAUUACAGUGCAGUCGGGAAAUAUUCAGACAUUUUAAUACUUUCCAGUUGUAUUCUAAAAUUAAUUAAAUGUUUUUCCCCUCAUCUACACACAAUAACCCAUAAUGACAAAGCGAAAACUGUUUUGAAAUGUAUUACAAAUAAAAAAAACAUACCUUAUUUA